AUACGGAGGGUGCAAGCGUUACUCGGAAUCACUGGGCGUAAAGCGCGCGCAGGCGGUCUUUUAAGUUGGAUGUGAAAGCCUACAGCUCAACUGUAGAACUGCAUCCAAAACUAUUAGACUAGAGUCUGGGAGGGGAAGAUGGAAUUAGUUGUGUAGGGGUAAGAUCCGUAGAGAUAACUAGGAAUACCAAAAGCGAAGGCGAUCUUCUGGAACAGUACUGACGCUGAGGCGCGAAAGCGUGGGGAGCAAACAGGAUUAGAUACCCCAGUAGUCC
rnacentral:rRNA from 1 species